rnacentral:rRNA from 1 species
CCUACGGGAGGCAGCAGUGAGGAAUAUUGGGCAAUGGGCGAGAGCCUGAACCAGCAACGUAGCGUGAAGGAUGACUGCCCUACGGGUUGUAAACUUCUUUUAUAGAAGAAUAAAGUGAGGCACGUGUGCCUGUUGGUAUGUACUUUAUGAAUAAGGAUCGGCAAACUCCGUGCGAGCAGCCGCGGUAAUACGGAGGCUCCGAGCGUUAUCCGGAUUUAGUGGGUUAAAAGGGAGCGUAGGCGGGCUUUUAAGUCAGCGGUAAAAAUUCGGGGCUCAACCCCGUCGGGCAGUUGAAGCUGGGGGACUAGAGUGGGCGAGAAGAAGGCGGAAUGCGUGGUGUAGCGGUGAAAUGCAUAGAUAUCACGAAGAACCCCGAUUGCGAAGGCAGCCUUCCGGCGCCCUACUGACGCUGAGGCACGAAAGUGCGGGGAUCGAACAGGAUUAGAUACCCCUGUAGUC